rnacentral:rRNA from 1 species
GUGGGGAAUCUUGCGCAAUGGGCGAAAGCCUGACACAGCAACGCCGCGUGCGGGAUGAAGGCCUUCGGGUUGUAAACCGCUUUCAGCAGGGACGAAAAUGACGGUACCUGCAGAAGAAGCUCCGGCUAACUACGUGCCAGCAGCCGCGGUAAUACGUAGGGAGCAAGCGUUGUCCGGAUUUAUUGGGCGUAAAGAGCUCGUAGGCGGUUUCGUAAGUCGAGUGUGAAAAAUCUGGGCUUAACCCAGUGGAGCACUCGAUACUGCGAUGACUUGAGUCUGGUAGAGGAGUGUGGAAUUCCUGGUGUAGCGGUGAAAUGCGCAGAUAUCAGGAGGAACACCAACGGCGAAGGCAGCACUCUGGGCCAGUACUGACGCUGAGGAGCGAAAGCGUGGGGAGCAAACAGGAUUAGAUACCCUUGUAGUCC